CCGUGCAAAAAGAAGAGAAGAUAAAGCAACUCAAGGGGCCAUUAGAAAUAAAAUUCCAAUGUUUGAAGAUCUAUUUGGAUCAACACAAAUGAAGAAUACCAGUCAAAGAAAGGUACUAAAGGAACAUGAAGUACCACGUCUUGAACCUUCCCCUGAAGAUUAUUUCAACGAUUUGUCGAUAUUCGCCGCAAUAAGUGAUAGUCAAGUUCCUUCCAAGAGAGCUAAGCUAACAUAUGAAAUAGUU